GGGGCGCCCGUGGCCACCGAAGCGGGACCUUGGUUCCUUGGGGGCCACAGCUGCGCGCUCCCCGCUGUACCCACCGACUGGUCCCCCGGGUCCCCCAGGCCGCAGUGACACUCAGCUAUCACUCUGGGCUCACUUAAUCUGGAGCCCCUUUCCCUUCUUCGGGGAACCUGCAGAGUUUUGGCAGCAGAAGGAAAGGUCUCUCCACCGCUCUCCCCUGGUACCAAACAGGCGAACUUGUUAGGUUGCCCUGGGAUCUCAAGAGGGGCUUGUGAGUCGGUGUUCUGGUCAUUUCUGGCUCCGGAGCCGGAUUGAACAGGUGAGGAAGCUGAGGCUAGCAGAAACAAGAGGUGACCACAGACCCGUCUGAUCACAUUCUUGCAACCUUUCUUUGGUGCCUGACACUUCCCAACCACAUGCUAGAACCUGGGAAAGAAAAAAGUUGCAACAUGAAUAGGCCACCCAUCACUACCAACUACAGAUGACUUGCCAUUUCAUUUAUAAAGAUGUCGUCAGCUGCUGAAAAUGGAGAUGCAGCUCCUGGAAAACAAAAUGAAGAAAAAACCUAUAAGAAGGUAAG